CUAAGCCGAGGCCGAAAGGCGUAGGUGAUGGACAACAGGUUGAUAUUCCUGUACCGCCAAUAAGCGUUUGAGAGAUGGAGUGACACAGUAGGAUAAGCUAACCGUACUGUUGGUUAUGUACGGCUAAGCAUUGAGGCAGUCUAAAUAGGCAAAUCCGUUUGGACAAUGCUAGGAUGUGAUGGGGAAGCCCUCCGGGGCGAAGUAGCUGAUUUCACACUGUCAAGAAAAGCUUCUAUCGAGUUUAAAGGCGCCCGUACCGUAAACCGACACAGGUGGGUGAGGAGAGUAUCCUAAGGCCAGCGAGAGAACUAUUGUUAAGGAACUCGGCAAAAUGACCCCGUAACUUAGGGAGAAGGGGUGCCUGUCUAUGACAGGCCGCAGAGAAUAGGCCCAAGCGACUGUUUACCAAAAACACAGGUUUCUGCUAAGUCGCAAGACGAUGUAUAGGAGCUGACGCCUGCCCGGUGCUGGAAGGUUAAGGGGAUCUGUUAGAGCAAUCGAAGCAGUGAACUUAAGCCCCAGUAAACGGCGGCCGUAACUAUAACGGUCCUAAGGUAGCGAAAUUCCUUGUCGGGUAAGUUCCGACCCGCACGAAAGGCGUAACGAUUUGGGCACUGUCUCAACAAUAGACUCGGUGAAAUUGUAAUCCCGGUGAAGAUGCCGGGUACCUGCGACAGGACGGAAAGACCCCAUGGAGCUUUACUGUAGCUUGACGUUGGGUCUUGGUACUACAUGUACAGGAUAGGUGGGAGACUAUGAAGCAUGGACGCCAGUCUGUGUGGAGUCAUCCUUGGGAUACCACCCUUGUAGUACUGGGAUCCUAACCAUAGGCCUUGAAUCAGGUCUUGGAACACCGUCAGGUGGGCAGUUUGACUGGGGCGGUCGCCUCCUAAAAAGUAACGGAGGCGCUCAAAGGUUUCCUCAGCACGGUCGGAAAUCGUGCGAAGAGUGUAAAGGCAAAAGGAAGCUUGAUUGCAAGACAUACAGGUCGAGCAAGGACGAAAGUCGGACUUAGUGAUCCGGUGGUUCCGCAUGGAAGGGCCAUCGCUCAACGGAUAAAAGCUACCCUGGGGAUAACAGGCUUAUCUCCCCCAAGAGUCCACAUCGACGGGGAGGUUUGGCACCUCGAUGUCGGCUCAUCACAUCCUGGGGCUGUAGUAGGUCCCAAGGGUUGGGCUGUUCGCCCAUUAAAGUGGUACGCGAGCUGGGUUCAGAACGUCGUGAGACAGUUCGGUCCCUAUCCGUCGCAGGCGUAGGAAAUUUGAGAAGACCUGUCCUUAGUACGAGAGGACCGGGAUGGACGUACCUCUGGUGUACCAGUUGUUCUGCCAAGGGCAUGGCUGGGUAGCUAUGUACGGAAUGGAUAAGCGCUGAAAGCAUCUAAGCGCGAAGCCAACUUCAAGAUAAGAUUUCCCACCGUAAGGGUAAGACCCCAGGAAGACUACCUGGUUGAUAGGUCGAAGGUGUAAGUGCAGUAAUGUAUUUAGCUUAUCGAUACUAAUAGGUCGAGGACUUGACC
rnacentral:rRNA from 1 species